rnacentral:rRNA from 1 species
UCCAGACUCCUACGGGAGGCAGCAAUGGGGAAUAUUGGGCAAUGGGCGCAAGCCUGACCCAGCAACGCCGCGUGAAGGAAGAAGGCUUUCGGGUUGUAAACUUCUUUUGACAGGGAAGAGCAGAAGACGGUACCUGUCGAAUAAGCCACGGCUAACUACGUGCCGGCAGCCGCGGUAAUACGUAGGGGGCAAGCGUUAUCCGGAUUUACUGGGUGUAAAGGGAGCGUAGACGGAAAGGCAAGUCAGAAGUGAAAGCCCAAGGCUCAACCAUGGGACUGCUUUUGAAACUGUCAAACUAGAGUACGGGAGAGGUAAGAGGAAUUCCUAGUGUAGCGGUGAAAUGCGUAGAUAUUAGGAGGAACACCAGUGGCGAAGGCGGUCAACUGGACAGCAACUGACGCUGAGGCGCGAAAGCGUGGGGAGCAAACAGGAUUAGAUACCCUGGUAA